rnacentral:rRNA from 1 species
CCUACGGGGUGCAGCAGUGGGGGAUAUUGCACAAUGGGGGGAACCCUGAUGCAGCGACGCCGCGUGGGUGAAGGAGCGUUUCGGCGCGUAAAGCCCUAUCGGCAGGGAAGAAGGAGGACGGUACCUGACUAAGAAGCCCCGGCUAACUACGUGCCAGCAGCCGCGGUAAUACGGAGGGGGCAAGCGUUAUCCGGAUUUACUGGGUGUAAAGGGGGCGCAGGCGGGAGCGCAAGCCAGGAGUGAAAGCCCAGGGCCCAACCCCGGGACUGCUCUUGGAACUGCGCGGCUGGAGUGCAGGAGGGGCAGGCGGAAUUCCUGGUGUAGCGGUGAAAUGCGUAGAUAUAAGGAGGAACACCGGUGGCGAAGGCGGACUGCUGGACUGCGACUGACGUUGAGGCGCGAAAGCGUGGGGAGCAAACAGGAUUAGAUACCCCGGUAGUC